rnacentral:rRNA from 1 species
CCCUUAGAUGUUCUGGGCCGCACGCGCGCUACACUGACGAAUGCAACGAGCUUAUAACCUUGGCCGAAAGGUCUGGGUAAUCUCCAAAUUUCGUCGUGAUGGGGAUAGAUUAUUGCAAUUAUUAAUCUUCAACGAGGAAUGCCUAGUAAGCGCAAGUCAUCAGCUUGCGUUGAUUACGUCCCUGCCCUUUGUACACACCGCCCGUCGCACCUACCGAUUGGAUGGUCCGGUGAGGCCUCGGGAUUGUGGCCGGUGCAUUCAUUUGUGUCGGUUGCGAGAACUUGUCCAAACCUUAUCAUCUAGAGGAAGGUGAAGUCGUAACA